UACGUAGGGUGCGAGCGUUGUCCGGAAUUAUUGGGCGUAAAGGCUCGUAGGCGGUUGUCACGUCGGGAGUGAAAACUCAGGCUCAACCCGAACUUGCAGUGGUACGGCAGACUAGAGUGUGGUAGGGGAGACGUGGAAUUCCUGGUGUAGCGGUGAAAUGCGCAGAUAUCAGGAGGAACACCGGUGGCGAAGGCGGCAUCCUGGACCGGCAUUGACGCUGAGGCGCGAAAGCCAGGGGAGGCAAACGGG
rnacentral:rRNA from 1 species